ensembl:lncRNA
AAUCUAUGCUUCCAACUGCAAUUGUUGUAUAUGCGCAUGCAUACACACAUAAAUGUAUUCAUUUCUAAUUAUAGUAGUUGGAAAGGGUUACAAAUGUCUUGGUUAAGUAGUGAGUUGCAUCAGAGUAAGCUCUUCUGCUCCGUCACAUUCCUGCGGCACUGAUCAACAACUCCGCGCCAUGACAGGCUUUUUCUUUCGCUUUCAGCAACAAAACGCCUGGCCGACCGUCUGUUACGUGUUAUUAUCUGGAUAUUGUCGUGUUCUCUCGGAAUGUACCAGAACUGGAACGAGGCAGAAACUGCACGUCAGUGGGCGGAGCUUUGACCUCAUGCUCCUGCAGUGGUGGAUACGUGCAGGACGAGAUGAAAACACGAGCGCUGUAAAGUUCAUCAAGCAUUGGCGCCUUCAAGCUGAUUCAAUGCGGGAAAGGUUUAGGCGCUUCAGCAGAAGUGUGAAGAAAUCUUCAUUGUGUGUGUAUGUAGCUGACUCCUCAGAAAACCUACACAUCCUUGAUGUAACAGAAGAGGACUACAGAAUUCCCAAAGAGAUCAGUCCAAGCACACACACACACACACACUUGUCUGUCUUUCUCUCCCUCUCCAAACACACACGUGAUCUCACACUCCACUGUCAUUGCACACACAAACACCUCUCUUUCUCCACUUUCCUCACUUUUCCUCCCCCAACAAAAACGUCACAUAUGUUCUUGCACUGUACAUACAAAUGCAGAUUAGUUCUCUUAAACAGAACAACCAGACAUACUCUUCCUAACACGCCCAUAGAACCUCACCAAUCAGAUCCCACCCUCUUUGGGAUGUACAUGUGCAUGCUGCUGUUAUUGACUCUGUUAUACAUUCCUACCCAAUGAACAGUUAGAAUACCAUUUGGACCCUUUUGCGAAGGCCCCACUCUGUCAACCUAGAGUACUCUCUGCUCCUCCUCUAUCACGUGGCUUGUUUUCAACAUAACUUGGCAUUUCAUCAUGUGCUGCUUUCCUCCUAGCCUUACUCUGAACCUUGCGUAAUCUUUAGGGCUGUUUUCAUGGCUGAAUAUAUAAGCCAAAUACACUGGGAGAAAAUAAAGCCUGAGCCAUUGAAGAACAUUAUAUAUUACUAUUGACACAACCUUGUGAGUUAAGGAUAAGAAAGUUUCACUGUUUCUGUGACAGUAUACAUUGUAUGGAACCUGAAAUGACUCGGGUAUAAAAACUGCCAUGU